AAUAGCUGCCGAAGACAGCAGGUGCCGUAAGGCAUAAGGUUCAAAACGCCUGCCGAGGAAGAGUUUUUUCUUAAAUCUGAGAUUCACAGCCGCAAGGUAUGGGAUUGAAGAAAUACAAGAUUGACUUAAACCUCUUUGUCUUUGACAAAGAGGUUUUCUUAAUU
rnacentral:sRNA from 1 species